GGCCCAGUGGCCUAAUGGACAGGGCGCCAGCCUCCGAAGCUGUGGAUUGUGGGUUCGAGUCCCACCUGGGUCG